GCACAUUGAGUGAGGGUCCUUCACCACCUUCCAGACACUUCUUUCACAAGAAAAUUGAUUGGCAGAGGCGUACUUUUCACUUGUCACUCCAGGUUUAAGUGUGUCUUUGCAAUAUUUCAUACCUAAAGAUUUCUUUUGAGAGAAAUUUUGACCUGGAUCUCUUGCAUUGUCCUGUGCAAUUUAUGUUUAUCUUCCUCCUGCUGUUGGUGCCAUCUAUUGAUUUCCAGCUGCUGCCUUUUUACCUAAUCCUUGGUGCAGAGGGAGAUUUAAUCAAACAAAAGGUCCACACUGGCUCCUUGGGAAUGGCUCAAGGUGCUUUGAAUCUCUCUCAGACACAGGACCAUGGGUCUGUGCUGAAGCCACGAUCAUCUCAUCACUCAUUCCACCUGGCCAGCCUUGCUUUUCAUGUCAUGGACGCUGAGUUACACUGGCAGCCCCCAGCAAACUGGGCACCUUAACUCUGGGGACGGAUCUGCUCCCAGCUGCCUGUUUAGGGUAAGUUUUUCUGGGAAGAAACUGUGUGGAGGGUGGUGUUUUGGGCUUUUUUAGGAUAUGUGUGUGUGCCACUGCAAUGCCUGCUAACCACUAUGAGCUAUGACCAGAAUUUUUCUAGUUUUACUGAAUAUUGACCCUUCAUUUCUGUGGCAUGACAUUGUUUACUAAGUAAUGCUGUGUGCUAUCAGCCAGUCCAGGUCACCAACAGCUUCAGUUGGCUUUACUCUCUUUUAUCUGCCACGUUUGCAGUCAAGCCCUGUGAAUAAUCAUGGCAAUUUGUUGUGAUCCAAGCUCAGGCUUUGCACCUACAUGCAGGGGCUUUGCUAUCAGUGACUAACUCUUCUAGGUCUUUCUUUCCAGAGGCUCUGUGACAAGGCUCAGGGCUCUCUUGAAAGCUGCACCCUCCUGAGCUGCUGGAGAAGGUUCAGACACAGAGCUUCACUCCUGCAACAGAAACAUGGGACACCUGGCUCUGCAGUAAGGGGAAUUCAAACCUAAAAGCUCUGGAAAACAGGCCUGCUUCUAUCGUGUGAUUACCUCCACUGAAUGCCUCCUAUAUUUGAUUGACAAGGUAAAAAAUAUUCUGUAUAGUAGGCAUGAGAGCCUGUAAGGAAACAGCCGUUGUUUGUCCCUUCUGUAUUUCACAUUUUGGAUCUGCACUUGCACGCUGUAUUGAAGCUAAAAAAUAGAAAUUCAUCACCCAGAUCUGCAAAGCACACAGUGCCAGUCUUCCCUUAAUAGGACACCAGAAAACCAAAGCCGUGUUUCCCAGUAGAGGCCCUUCAAUGGCUUUGAUUGUUAAAUGGUUUCAGUUACAUCUUUAUGAGUUUUCAGUUAUCCAUGGCUUCAAGUAUGAAAUCCAUGGCAAGAGUAGGACAAAGCACUGUUCUUCUGAGGGCACAGAUCCUGACAGGCAUUGCUGCAUUCCUUCCCGGGGUAGCUGGAGUUCCGAGCCACUAAUCUGAAUUCCAGAAGACCCCCAUAGUCCAGGACAACAAGCACGAGUGCCUGUGUAGGGCAUGUGCCAUGGUUCUGUCCAGGGUGGGCAGUGCCUCAGCCCUUGCCCUGUGUGCUCUGGGGCUGGGGGGUCUCGGGGUUCAAGUUCAACAGAGGCUGUUCCCUGCAGGAGCUGCCUGUGCCUGCUGAUGUCCACUACAUCCCCAGGGGAAAGUGAUUUGGAGAAUGCAGCUACAGGGUAAAUUGCUACUUGUUUCUCUUGCAUUUCACUUCACACCAGCAGUCUCGAUGCUGCUUCCUUAACAAAGGAUUAAAUCCUUAAAUGGAUUUACUAAUCAACUGCUUUUCUUUCCAUACCCACUCUGCUUCUCCUCACAUCUUCUCAGACCUGAGAGGAUAACUAAAGGCUCAGAAUGCUCAUACUCAUUUCUAUUAUAAGAAGAAGAGAAUACACUGAUUCUAAGAAAUUCCACUUUUGGAAAUAGCUUUGGUUUUUUUGCUGCAAGAACCAUGGUGUUCUAAAUAGACUGCAGCUCUUCACAUUCAGUCUCAAUAGAAAAUAAAAUGGAGGAAGUGCAGAAGGCAGCACUGGCAUGAUUUGCAUAUAGUCUUUGAAAACAAGCCUCAGAUAGUGGCAACUGAAAACCAGCUUUAUAUCAGGCUCUUGCUGCAGCAGUGCUCAAGUCAAAGAAAGAAAACCUGUCCUUGUGACAAAAUAACCCUCACUCUGGUGUGUAUCUGAAACAAACAAAAACCGAUAAGACAUUGUUAUUUUAAAGAGAAC